rnacentral:sRNA from 1 species
UUGUAUGUUAGAUCAUCUUUCGAGUAUAUGCACAGGAGAGGUAUAGCUGGGUUGACACACUUGAGAGCAUAGAAAAUGAAUUAUUCUUUAUCUCAGAUGUCUGUUGUUGCUCAGAGUCAGUGGUUGUAUGGUUAGGCCACAUUUCGAGGGGCAGGAUCUGCCCAAGCUCCAGGCUGCUACACAGGACCCUGCACAGUACCUUGACCUUGGUGCUGGCUGCCCUGCUGAUAGGUGUCCUGGCCAUGACCAUUUUGUGUUUGUGGCUCCCUGGCAGGCCUUCAGCCCCCCACUCUCCAGCACCCACACCCCAUGGGUAUUGCAAACUGCAGCAGCUGGGUCUGCAGGGACAUGGGUUAAGGUGUUCUUGGUAGUAGUUCAAGCCUCCCGGGAGCCAAAGGACAGACUCUACUCACAAGCUCCUUUGCCAGCUGACUGUGCACCCAUUCCUGUGGCAUCCACUGGGACUUUAGUCCUGCUUCUCUCUGCCACAGGUUCCAUUCCAUUUCACCAGUUUUUUUUUUAUCCUAAGUUUUUAUUUCUGUUUCUAUAUCUUGAAUAGUUUUGCCUAAAGCAAAUAUUAUCUUUCUCAUGCUGCUAAAGUAAUGCCUACCUGAUUAUCUUUGACAACAGAGAUUAUUUUUUUCUCCCUUCUGAAGGCUAGCAGCACAGUCAGGGUGUCAGCAGGUCCCGGCACUCUCAGGCUAUGAAGGAGAAUCUGUUCUUGGCUUUGUUCCUUCCUGGAAGCUGUUGGGCCAUCUUUGAUGUCUUUGCCGUCACCUUCACGUGUGUUCUCUUCAUGCAUACGUUUGUUUCUGUGUCCAUGCUUCCCGAUUUAUAAGCAUGCAAGUGAUAUUGGACCAGAAUUUACUCUAAUGACUUCAUUUGAUUUUGAUUACUUGUAAAAAUUUCAUUUUCAGAUAAGAGCACAUUCAGGAACUAGUGUUUAGGACACCAUCUGGGAAGAUAAACUGUAUGAAUAGCUAACGUUUCUGAAGAAGUAUAUCUGGAAGUUCUUUAAUAGUGGUUUUAUAUAUACGUGUGAAGUUUAUUAAAAUACUGGGAUAAUUAUGAGUGUAUGCCAAUCGAUGAGUCAUGUCUAAAUAUUUGUUUUUGAGACAGGACUUGUUUAGUCUUACAAAAAAUAUAUACAUACAUAGUUUAAUGAAAGAUUUUCUAUGUGGACUGACAAGAGCCAUAAACUAACCAAGGCCUUAGCGCCAGGUAUGAGAAUCUAUUUUUGAAUUCUUGGCUGCUGUUGUCCAAGAGACUUCCAAAACAUUUUGGGUUAUUUAUGUUGCUAUUGGUUACCCCAAAGGUGGACAUUGAUAAGUCCCAUGAAGACAUCAAGCACUUCAGACACAGGACCAGAGGAUUUGAACUAUAUGCAACCUGAAAGCCUCAUUCCUGAGGACCACCUUGCAUAAUAUGAGAAAGUGCCACAUGUACUUCCAAAGGAGAGAAGAAGCAACAGUCCUUCCUAGACCCAGCUGUACAUCCUGUGCACUGCAACAAUGACCAGAAUGGCAAGCGUGCCCUAUGGGUAUGGUACUGAUACACAUUCCUUGUUGGUGGCCAUGCGAUGGCAUCAUAGGUUGCUGCAGAUGGUUUCAAUGGUUCUGUUGGAUGUUCUUCAUCUGUGCCUGCAAGAGGCGCCCAAGGCUUUAUGUAUGGCCAUUGCUAUGACCUAGUGUGAUGCUCUACUUUCCCGCUGAACUUUACUUGCUAGAACUGAGGAGCUUGGCUAUAAUUUAGCCUUUUCUUUUUGUAUUUAGCUGUUGUUGAGGAAGGAGCUUUGGGAAUAGAAGUAACCAGGCAGCAGGUCCAUUUUCACUGUUGAAGGCAGCUGAAAACUCAUCCCUACUGAUGUCCCACAGAAGCAGCAAGAAGCCUUUCUCUCUAUGAAGUAAUGACAGAUGACGACCAGCAAAGAAUGGUAAGGCAUACCAACAGCAUGCAGUGUCACUAGCAAAGACCAGUAUCAGCAAAGCAAAGACCAGCAAAGCAUGGAAGAAUCAGCUCCUAAGAGAUAACGGCAAAGCAAAAUGUAAAAUAAGAUGAAAGCUGUCACAUCAAAGGUGAACAAGACAAAACAACAGGAAAAUAAAAGAGUCCCAAGAGAAGGCACAAGAAUUAGAGACCUAUUUGUUUACACAUUCAGGAGUCCCAUAAAAGUACUAAACUAGGGCU